rnacentral:rRNA from 1 species
UCCAGACUCCUACGGGAGGCAGCAGUGGGGAAUAUUGGGCAAUGGGCGCAAGCCUGACCCAGCGACGCCGCGUGAGGGAAGACGGUCUUCGGAUUGUAAACCUCUUUCAGCAGGGAAGACAAAAGGACGGUACCUGCAGAAGAAGCCACGGCUAACUACGUGCCAGCAGCCGCGGUAAUACGUAGGUGGCAAGCGUUAUCCGGAAUUACUGGGUGUAAAGGGUGUGUAGGCGGGGCUGCAAGUCAGAUGUGAAAAUUAUGGGCUCAACCCAUAACCUGUGUCUGAAACUGCAGCUCUUGAGAGUGGGAGAGGUAAACGGAAUUCCCGGUGUAGCGGUGAAAUGCGUAGAUAUCGCGCAGAACCCCGAUUGCGAAGGCAGCGUACCGGCUCCACACUGACGCUGAGGCACGAAAGCGUGGGUAUCGAACAGGAUUAGAUACCCUUGUAU